CUGAUCCAGCCAUGCCGCGUGUGUGAAGAAGGCCCUCGGGUUGUAAAGCACUUUCAGCGAGGAAGAACGCCUAGCGGUUAAUACCCGCUAGGAAAGACAUCACUCGCAGAAGAAGCACCGGCUAACUCCGUGCCAGCAGCCGCGGUAAUACGGAGGGUGCAAGCGUUAAUCGGAAUUACUGGGCGUAAAGCGCGCGUAGGUGGCUUGAUAAGCCGGUUGUGAAAGCCCCGGGCUCAACCUGGGAACGGCAUCCGGAACUGUCAAGCUAGAGUGCAGGAGAGGAAGGUAGAAUUCCCGGUGUAGCGGUGAAAUGCGUAGAGAUCGGGAGGAAUACCAGUGGCGAAGGCGGCCUUCUGGACUGACACUGACACUGAGGUGCGAAAGCGUGGGUAGCAAACAGGAUUAGAUACCCUGGUAGUCCACGCCGUAAACGAUGUCGACCAGCCGUUGGGUGCCUAGCGCACUUUGUGGCGAAGUUAACGCGAUAAGUCGACCGCCUGGGGAGUACGGCCGCAAGGUUAAAACUCAAAUG
rnacentral:rRNA from 1 species